GAUUUAUCCAUUUGGGGCUGUAAUUUACUGGUUAAGAUGAGGAGUCUAUCAAGCCUGACUUAUCUGUGCCUAUUGCCGAGCUAUCCCUGUAAUGAACACGAUGGGAGACAGAGAGCUGGUUUCAAGUGCAGGGUGCAGCAGGUGUUUAUUGUAAAGGACCACAGGAGGAGGCAGGUAGCUGGGUCCAGGGACAGCUAGCUGGGUCCAGGGACAGGUAGCUGGGUCCAGGGACAGGCAGAAGGUCAUACACAGGAGGAGGCAGGUAGCAGGGUCCAGGGACAGGCAGCUGGGUCCAGGGACAGGUAGCAGGGUCCAGGGACAGGCAGCUGGGUCCAGGGACAGGUAGCAGGGUCCAGGGACAGGCAGCUGGGUCCAAGGACAGGUAGCUGGGUCCAGGGACAAGCAGAAGGUCAUACACAAGAGGAAGCAGGUAGCAGGGUCCAGGGACAGGUAGCUGGGUCCAGGGACAGGCAGCUGGGUCCAGGGACAGGCAGAAGUUCAUACACAGGAGGAGACAGGUAGCAGGGUCCAGGGGCAGGCAGAAGGUCAUACACAGAGAAUCCAAAAAGGCAACAGUACAGGCAGGGAAUAGGCUAGUAACAACGUCUGGGAGAUCAGGCAAUAGGUUGAUAACAGGAAAUCCGACAGGCUAAAGUACAGGCAGGGAAUAUGCAAAAGAGGUCGUUAGUGAGGCAGGCAAAAACUAUCAUACACGGGAGGUUUAAAUUACAGGAAAAGCUGCAUUCAGUGGAUCUAUGUGUUUGAGAGACAAAUAAUGAUGAAAUAAUGAUGACAUUGAUGACAUAUAAUGAUGACAUAUAAUGAUGACAUAUAAUGAUGACAAAUAAUGAUGUCAUAUAAUGAUGACACAUAAUGAUGACAUAUAAU
rnacentral:lncRNA from 1 species